GUGGCGAACGGGUGAGUAACACGUGAGUAACCUGCCCCCCUCUUCGGGAUAACCUCGGGAAAUCGGGGCUAAUACCGGAUAUGACUUCGCACCGCAUGGUGUGUUGUGGAAAGUUUUUCGGUGGGGGAUGGACUCGCGGCCUAUCAGUUUGUUGGUGAGGUAAUGGCUCACCAAGGCGAUGACGGGUAGCCGGCCUGAGAGGGCGACCGGCCACACUGGGACUGAGACACGGCCCAGACUCCUACGGGAGGCAGCAGUGGGGAAUAUUGCACAAUGGGCGAAAGCCUGAUGCAGCGACGCCGCGUGGGGGAUGACGGCCUUCGGGUUGUAAACCUCUUUCAGUAGGGAAGAAGCGAGAGUGACGGUACCUGCAGAAGAAGCGCCGGCUAACUACGUGCCAGCAGCCGCGGUAAUACGUAGGGCGCAAGCGUUGUCCGGAAUUAUUGGGCGUAAAGAGCUUGUAGGUGGCUUGUCGCGUCUGCCGUGAAAACCCGAGGCUCAACCUCGGGCGUGCGGUGGGUACGGGCAGGCUAGAGUGUGGUAGGGGAGACUGGAACUCCUGGUGUAGCGGUGAUAU
rnacentral:rRNA from 1 species